rnacentral:rRNA from 1 species
AUUGAACGCUGGCGGCAGGCCUAACACAUGCAAGUCGAACGGUAACAGGAAGAAGCUUGCUUCUUUGCUGACGAGUGGCGGACGGGUGAGUAAUGUCUGGGAAACUGCCUGAUGGAGGGGGAUAACUACUGGAAACGGUAGCUAAUACCGCAUAACGUCGCAAGACCAAAAAGGGGGACCUUCGGGCCUCUUGCCAUCGGAUGUGCCCAGAUGGGAUUAGCUAGUAGGUGGGGUAACGGCUCACCUAGGCGACGAUCCCUAGCUGGUCUGAGAGGAUGACCAGCCACACUGUAACUGAGACACGGUCCAGACUCCUACGGGAGGCAGCAGUGGGGAAUAUUGCACAAUGGGCGCAAGCCUGAUGCAGCCAUGCCGCGUGUAUGAAGAAGGCCUUCGGGUUGUAAAGUACUUUCAGCGGGGAGGAAGGGAGUAAAGUUAAUACCUUUGCUCAUUGACGUUACCCGCAGAAGAAGCACCGGCUAACUCCGUG